GUGCCAGCAGCCGCGGUAAUACGGAGGGUGCAAGCGUUGUCCGGAUUUAUUGGGUUUAAAGGGUGCGUAGGCGGCCAUUUAAGUCAGCGGUGAAAGACUUCAGCUCAACUGAAGUACUGCCGUUGAUACUGAGUGGCUUGAGUAUUGACGAAGAGGGCAGAAUUGAAGGUGUAGCGGUGAAAUGCAUAGAUAUCUUCAAGAAUACCGAUUGCGAAGGCAGCUCUCUAGGGAAUAACUGACGCUGAGGCACGAAAGCGUGGGUAGCAAACAGGAUUAGAUACCCUGGUAGUCCACGCCCUAAACGAUGAUUACUCGAUGUUUGCAGGUUACUGUAAGCGUCUUAGGGAAACCGUUAAGUAAUCCACCUGGGGAGUACGACCGCAAGGUUGAAACUCAAAGGAAUUGACGG
rnacentral:rRNA from 1 species